GAUGAACGCUGGCGGCGUGCCUAAUACAUGCAAGUCGAGCGAACGGACGAGAAGCUUGCUUUUCUGAUGUUAGCGGCGGACGGGUGAGUAACACGUGGAUAACCUACCUAUAAGACUGGGAUAACUUCGGGAAACCGGAGCUAAUACCGGAUAAUAUUUUGAACCGCAUGGUUCAAAAGUGAAAGACGGUCUUGCUGUCACUUAUAGAUGGAUCCGCGCUGCAUUAGCUAGUUGGUAAGGUAACGGCUUACCAAGGCAACGAUGCAUAGCCGACCUGAGAGGGUGAUCGGCCACACUGGAACUGAGACACGGUCCAGACCCCUACGGGAGGCAGCAGUAGGGAAUCUUCCGCAAUGGGCGAAAGCCUGACUGAGCAACGCCGCGUGAGUGAUGAAGGUCUUCGGAUCGUAAAACUCUGUUAUUAGGGAAGAACAUAUGUGUAAGUAACUGUGCACAUCUUGACGGUACCUAAUCAGAAAGCCACGGCUAACUACGUG
rnacentral:rRNA from 1 species